CAGCCUCACUUUCAACAUCAAAGCGCCUCCCAGAGAGUGCAGAGGCGGAGGAGACCACCCCAGGGCCCCAGAGCCCCAGAGCCCCACUACCCACACCGCGUUCCCUCUCUGCUGCUCGGCUGGCCGCUCCACUAUCCAGAGCCGGCCAUUUGCCGGACACUGGAAGCCGAGGCUGGCUGCCCAGGAAGGCAGUGCGCGGUCCGGUGUCUAACGACGGGAGGGUUUCCAGCCCGCCUCAGGAAAAACACCAGAGACAAACUGGGAAGUCAUAUCACAAUUGUGCUGGUUAUAAAAAGGAAGAUACAUUCAAAUCCUUGGCCACACCACCUAAACCACAUGACCAACUCAGUGGCUCCAAGAAGGGACAGAGCCACAUCACACCGUCCUGCCAGGACGCAACAUCGCACACACAUGUAAUGUUCCUGCCAACACGCGGAGCCUGACCAAGCUAUUCUAUUUGCGCGCUGAACUAUGCCUGCAGUUUCGGAUCUUUCAUCUCUGACCAAGGCAACCAAGGCUCUACUGCCCCCUGGCGGGAAGAGUUAGCGCCUGAAGCCUGCAUAAUUGCCCCCGUCACGGUAAAAUCCCAACUAGAACAUUCUGGGGCAGAUGCAGUGGAAAUCCCAACGAUCUGGUACAAGAGUAGGAACAGAGAGGCAGGGAUGUCCUGACUUUGUGCACCCAGUCACUGCCCACACCGCAGGCGACACCCAGCCAGCCCGGGCCUCCCACACAGCCGGGUCUUUCUUAUUCUGCUUCCAAGCCCUUCUGGACUGCAGGGCCCAGACUGCCGAGGACGAGAACAAGCUGCGUGUGUUACUGCAUUUUCCCCGGGAUCGGAAAACACGUGAGAAGCUAACAAGGCACUCACUCUCCUGCUCAGGCCCCUGAUGCACAGACAGCCUGCUGAUGAGUCCCGAGGGCCCAGUCCAUGGACAGCCAGCUCCAAAGCAGGAACGUCAGACGGUAGACAGGCGUGGUGCAGCAAAGCUACUCACUUCCUAGCAGCCAGGAAGGAGAGCACAGGAGGACAGCAGUGAGUUGUAUCCACCAACCAGAGAUAUGCAUCCCAGUGACCAUCCUCCAUCACCUGGACCCAACCUCAUAACAGCAUGUGCAGCUAUGGACAACAGUGGAUUAACCCACUGAGCUUUCUUCCCUGACUUCCGUCUGACUCAGACAGGGACACGUGCAUUCCCUUGACAAAGUUCAGCCCUAGCCCUGCAUGCCUGCAAUCCCAGCACUCAGGAGGGUGAGAGAGGAGGGUCGCUGCAAGUUUGAGUUCCAACAGUGCGUUCAAGACCAGCUGAACUACACAGCAAGACCCUGUCUCAGAAAAAGAAAAAGAAAAAUCCAGCCCCAAUAUUACUUCAACCUGAGAGCCCGGGGAAGAUCCUGUCCUCGGACCACGAGUUAGAGCAGGAGUGUGCAAGCCGACUACCGGCUGUUGCCACCUGCGGCUCCUUUCCGGGAACUGUAAGGUGAUGGUGUUGGUGUUGCCAUCACCCUCUCUGACAGCAGAGAGAGCCGCUGCAGCAGACUGCAGAGCCCAGGAAGCCUUAGAGACUUGCUCUCCAGCCCCUCGGUGACCAGAUUUGGAACUUGGCAGCACGGGUCUCAAGUCCGGAACUUCCUAGCAGCUGCACACAAGUGGAAGUGUCCCUGGGCAAACACAGGGCCCGGGCACUGAUGUGCUCCCAUAAAAUUCCAUCAUUCAGGAUACUUUCAUCUCUGGCCUUCUCCCCUCUCUAAACGUGCAGAAUCACCAGGUGGUGGCACACAGCUGUGACCCCAGCACUCAGGAGGCUGAGGCAGGAGGAUCACCAGGGAGUUCAAGGUCAGCCUUGGCCAUGUAAUGAGUUCAAGGUCAGUCUGAACUGCAGAGUGAGACUGCCACAAAAGUAAACAAAAAAAAAGUAAUUUCUACAAAAGGAUUCCUCUGGAGAGAAAACAGGGAAAAAAGAAUUUU